CCCACCCGAGUCCCCGACCACCCUCCUGAGUCCUAUGACUUCGUCCCUGUCUCAAGGUCACCCCACCUGUGACUUCAUCGUCCCUGACUCCUUGUCUCACACUCUCCCUGACUCCAGAGUCCCAGACUUCGUCCAAUCAUCCCCUCUCUGUCUCACACUCUAAGAAUUGAUCCGGAGUGUUCUUGGCGAGACAAAGGUUAAAUGGCCAAAGUGAAAAGCUUCUUGGCAAGUUUAUACAAGAAUUUCCAGG